GAUGAACGCUGGCGGCGUGCCUAAUACAUGCAAGUCGAGCGAACAGACGAGGAGCUUGCUCCUCUGACGUUAGCGGCGGACGGGUGAGUAACACGUGGAUAACCUACCUAUAAGACUGGGAUAACUUCGGGAAACCGGAGCUAAUACCGGAUAAUAUAUUGAACCGCAUGGUUCAAUAGUGAAAGACGGUUUUGCUGUCACUUAUAGAUGGAUCCGCGCCGCAUUAGCUAGUUGGUAAGGUAACGGCUUACCAAGGCAACGAUGCGUAGCCGACCUGAGAGGGUGACCGGCCACACUGGAACUGAGACACGGUCCAAACUCCUACGGGAGGCAGCAGUAGGGAAUCUUCCGCAAUGGGCGAAAGCUUGACGGAGCAACGCCGCGUGAGUGAUGAAGGUCUUCGGAUCGUAAAACUCUGUUAUAGGGAAGAACAAAUGUGUAAGUAACUAUGCACGUCUUGACGGUACCUAAUCAGAAAGCCACGGCUAACUACGUG
rnacentral:rRNA from 1 species